ACGGUGCCCCGGUCCACGAGCUCGCGCACGCACGCCGGCGAGCCGUCGCAGCUCAGCGACGCCACGUCGCGCCACGACACGGCUCUGGCGCCCGUUGUCGUUUCUCCUGAUCCGUCCGGCUGCUCGGCGCCGCUGCUGUCGAUCUGGAUCGCCCUCCCGCCGCCCGCCGGGACGUGGCACCGGAGGAAGAGCUCGCCUCCGCUGCCGCCGCCGCAACCGAGGCCCGUGACGCUGACGGAGGUGAUCUCGCACUGGAGAUGGCAGAUGACGCCGCAAUCACCAUCC
rnacentral:lncRNA from 1 species